rnacentral:rRNA from 1 species
GUGCCUCAAACAUGCAAGUCUAACGCGAGGUAUUUUUCUUCGGAAUUUUACCUUGAGUGGCGCACGGGUGAGUAACACGUGGGCAAUCUACCUUUGGGUGGGGAAUAUCAGCUGGAAACGGUUGUUAAUACCGCAUAAAGCAACUAAUUCUUCGGACAGUUAUUUGUUAAAGCGUGGGAUUUAUUUAUACACCAUGCACCAAAAGAGGACCCCGCGGCGGAUUAGCUAGUUGGUGAGGUAACGACUCACCGGGGCCGUGAUCCGUAGCCGGCCUGAGAGGGCGGACGGCCACACUGACACUGAAAUACGGGUCACACUCCUACGGGAGGCAGCAGUCGGUUUUUUUGGGCGAUGGGCGCGAAGCCUGACCCACCAACGCCGCGUGAAGGAUGAAAUCCCUCGGGAUGUAAACUUCAUAAGAUCGGAAAGAAUAGGGUGCGGCAAAUAGCUACACACCGAUGACGGUACUGAUUGUACGCUCCGGCUAACCCCGUGCCAGCAGCCGCGGUAAUACGGGGGGAGCAAGCGUUGUUCUUAUUUACUGGGCGUAAAGGGCGCGUAGGCGGCUUAUCAAGUCACUUGUGAAAUC